rnacentral:rRNA from 1 species
AUUCCCGUUGAUCCUGCGGGAGGUUGCUGCUAUUGGGAUUCGACUAAGCCAUGCAAGUCAAGGGGUUUCUUCGGAAACACCGGCGAACUGCUCAGUAACACGUCAAUAAUUUACCCUUAGGUCCAGAAUAACUUUGGGAAACUGAGGCUAAUGCUGGAUAAGAAAAGAGUAUUGGAAUAUCUCUUUUCUGAAAGCUCCGGCGCCUAAGGAUGAGUUGGCGGCUGAUUAGGUUGUUGGCGAGGUAAAGUAUUUUCAAAGAAACUAAUUAAAAUUCUUUGGAAUUUUAUAUGCUCACCAAGCCGAAGAUCAGUAGGAGCCUUGUGAGAGGCAGCUCCGAGAAGGACACUGAGAUACUGGUCCUAGCCCUACGGGGUGCAGCAGGCGCGAAACCUUUACAAUGCACGAAAGUGUGAUAAGGGAAUCCCAAGUGCUUAUGCUUUGCAUAGGCUUUUGCCAAGAGCAAAAAUCUUGGCGAAUAAGUGAUGGGUAAGACUGGUGCCAGCAGCCGCGGUAACACCAGCGUCACAAGUGGCAAUCACAAUUAUUGGGUCUAAAGCGUCCGUAGCCUGUUUAUUAAGUCUUUUGUGAAAUCGUUGCGCUUAACGUAACGGUGUGCAAAAGAUACUGUUAAACUUGAGACUGGAAGGAGUUAGAGGUAUUCCAAGGGGAGCGGUAAAAUGCUAUAAUCCUUGGAGGACCACCUGUGGCGAAAGCGUCUAACUAGUACAGCUCUGACGGUGAGGGACGAAAGCCAGGGGAGCGAACCGGAUUAGAUACGAGAAAUCAUGUCUGAUUUCUGGAAUUAGCUCGUAAUUCGUUCAUUAAGACUAUUACAAGUUAAAGAAAGAAAUUGUUAUAUGAUGAUUUACUCGCUAAUUACCCGAGUAGUCCUGGCCAUAAACGCUGCGAGCAAGGUGUUACAUAUUCUUCGUGAAUAUGUAGUGUCGAAACGAAGGUGUUAAGCUCGCCACCUGGGAAGUAUGGUCGCAAGACUGAAACUUAAAGGAAUUGGCGGGGGAGCACCACAAGGGGUGCGGCGUGCGGUUUAAUCUAAUUCAACGCAGAAAAUCUCACCAGAAGCGACGGCAGGAUGAAGGUCAGGUUAAAGGCCUUACCAGACAAGCCGAGAGGUAGUGCAUGGCCGUCGUCAGCUCGUGCUGUAAAGUGUCCUGUUAAGUCAGGCAACGAGCGAGACCUGUACCUACAAUUGCUAGCAACAUCUUGGAUUGAGCACAUUGUGGGGACUGCCUUGGAAACAAGGAGGAAGGCGCAGGCUACGAUAGGUCUGUAUGCUCCGAAUCUUCUGGGCUACACGCGCGCAACAAUGAUAAGGACAAUGGGAUACAACUCCGUAAGGAGAAGUUAAACCUCUAAACCUUAUCUUAGUUCAGAUUGAGGACUGUAAUUUGCCCUCAUGACGCUGGAAUCCCUAGUAAUCGGAAGUCAUCAUCUUCCGGUGAAUAUGUCCCUGCUCCUUGCACACACCGCCCGUCAAACCAUCCGAGCAGGGUUUAGGUGAGAUUCAUCUUUAAGGUAAAUCGAAUCUAAACUCAGUGAGGCGGGUUAAGUCGUCACAAGGUAGCCGUAGGGGAACCUGCGGCUGGAUCACCUCCU